rnacentral:rRNA from 1 species
UAACGCGUAGGUAACCUGCCUGGUAGCGGGGGAUAACUAUUGGAAACGAUAGCUAAUACCGCACAAGAGUAGAUGUUGCAUGACAUUUACUUAAAAGGUGCAAUUGCAUCACUACCAGAUGGACCUGCGUUGUAUUAGCUAGUUGGUGGGGUAACGGCUCACCAAGGCGACGAUACAUAGCCGACCUGAGAGGGUGAUCGGCCACACUGGGACUGAGACACGGCCCAG